AACGAACGCUGGCGGCAUGCCUAACACAUGCAAGUCGAACGAAACCUUCGGGUCUAGUGGCGCACGGGUGCGUAACGCGUGGGAACCUGCCCUUAGGUUCGGAAUAACUCCCCGAAAGGGGUGCUAAUACCGGAUAAUGUCUUCGGACCAAAGAUUUAUCGCCUUUGGAUGGGCCCGCGUUGGAUUAGCUAGUUGGUAGGGUAAAAGCCUACCAAGGCGACGAUCCAUAGCUGGUCUGAGAGGAUGAUCAGCCACACUGGGACUGAGACACGGCCCAGACUCCUACGGGAGGCAGCAGUGGGGAAUAUUGGACAAUGGGCGAAAGCCUGAUCCAGCAAUGCCGCGUGAGUGAUGAAGGCCUUAGGGCUGUAAAGCUCUUUUACCCGGGAUGAUAAUGACAGUACCGGGAGAAUAAGCUCCGGCUAACUCCGUG
rnacentral:rRNA from 1 species